AGUUGCAUUUACUGGAAAGUCUCUGGAACGCUGAUGGAGGUGGUGGUCAGGCCUGGAGAUAAUGCAACUCUUCUCUGUAACUGUGAGAUUGUCACUGGACAGGAGAUUCGUUGGGUUAAGAUCUGCUCUUUACAAAUCCAACCACCUCUGAUCAUCUCUGCAUACAAUAGCCUAUUACAACCCAUUCCGAGAUUCUCUGUGUUCUGGAACAGUGCUUCAAAAUCCUAUGACUUGGUGAUUGAGAACAUCACUGGUGCAGACCUUGGUCUCUACUAUUGCUCAAGGGUUGAGAAAAAAUACAUCAAACAGAACGGAAUAAUCUUCGAGAAGGAUGUGUACCACACUGGUGAUACUCUCAUAAAGCUCACAUAUGGUUCACCUGUCUUCCGCUCAGAAAGCCCGCUGAACCAGUCUGUGACUGCUGGCAGUGCUGGCUGAUACUGCAAACAGUGUGUCCCGCAUGUUCUCUUCUCUCUGCCAUUUUGGCUUUUGUUUGUGGCUACAGAUGCUGCCACAAGACAGUGCUGAAAGAGUCUGAAGGUCGUCAAAGCCGUUCUGAGACGCAAAGACAGCUCAGCCAAGAACAGG